rnacentral:tRNA from 1 species
GCCCAAAUUGGGCGAGAAAUAUGCAAUUUAUAUAGUUUAAGCAAAACAUUACAUUUUCAUUGUAAAAUUAAAUUUAUUUUUUAUAA